rnacentral:rRNA from 1 species
GACGAACGCUGGCGGCGUGCUUAACACAUGCAAGUCGAACGGUAAGGCCCUUCGGGGUACACGAGUGGCGGACGGGUGAGUAACACGUGGGUGAUCUGCCCUGCACUUCGGGAUAAGCCUGGGAAACUGGGUCCAAUACCGGAUAGGACCCUGGGAUGCAUGUCCUGGGGUGGAAAGCUUUUGCGGUGUGGGAUGGGCCCGCGGGCUAUCAGCUUGUUGGUGGGGUGAUGGCCUACCAAGGCGACGACGGGUAGCCGGCCUGAGAGGGUGACCGGUCACACCAGGAAUGAGAUACGGCCCAGGCUCCUACGGGAGGCAGCAGUGGGGAAGAUUGCCCUACGGGCGCAAGCCUGAUGCAGCGACGGCGCGUGGGGGAUGACGGCCUUCGGGUUGUAAACCUCUUUCAGCGCCGACGAAGCGCAAGUGACUGUAGGUGCAGAAGAAGGACCGGCCAACUACGUGCCAGCAGCCGCGGUAA